GACGAACGCUGGCGGCGUGCUUAACACAUGCAAGUCGAACGGAAAGGCCCUGCUUUUGUGGGGUGCUCGAGUGGCGAACGGGGGAGUAACACGUGAGUAACCUGCCCUUGACUUUGGGAUAACUUCAGGAAACUGGGGCUAAUACCGGAUAGGAUCUCCUGCUGCGUGGUGGGGGUUGGAAAGUUUCGGCGGUUGGGGAUGGACUCGCGGCUUAUCGGCUUGUUGGUGUGGUAGUGGCUUACCAAGGCUUUGACGGGUAGCCGGCCUGGGAGGGUGACCGGGCACAUUGGGACUGAGAUAGGGCCCAGACUGCUACGGGAGGCAGCAGUGGGGAAUAUUGCACAAUGGGCGGAAGUCUGAUGCAGAAACGCCGCGUGCGGGAUGACGGCUUUCGGGUUGUAAACAGCUUUCGACUGUGACGAAGCGUGAGUGACGGUAAUGGGUAAAGAAGCACCGGCUAACUACGUG
rnacentral:rRNA from 1 species